AAUUCGAUUGAGUUUGAUCAUGGCUCAGAACGAACGCUGGCGGCAGGCCUAACACAUGCAAGUCGAACGCCGUAGCAAUACGGAGUGGCAGACGGGUGAGUAAUGCGUGGGAACAUACCCCUCGGUUCGGAAUAACUCAGGGAAACUUGAGCUAAUACCGGAUACGUCCGAGGUUUUAAUCGACCUCGGAGAAAGAUUUAUCGCCGGAGGAUUGGCCCGCGUCUGAUUAGCUUGUUGGUGAGGUAAUGGCUCACCAAGGCGACGAUCAGUAGCUGGUCUGAGAGGAUGAUCAGCCACAUUGGGACUGAGACACGGCCCAAACUCCUACGGGAGGCAGCAGUGGGGAAUAUUGGACAAUGGGCGAAAGCCUGAUCCAGCCAUGCCGCGUGAGUGAUGAAGGCCUUAGGGUUGUAAAGCUCUUUUACCCGGGAAGAUAAUGACGGUACCGGGAGAAUAAGCCCCGGCUAACUUCGUGCCAGCAGCCGCGGUAAUACGAAGGGGGCUAGCGUUGUUCGGAAUUACUGGGCGUAAAGCGCACGUAGGCGGAUCUUUAAGUCAGGGGUGAAAUCCCGAGGCUCAACCUCGGAACUGCCUUUGAUACUGGGGAUAUAGAGUCCGGGAGAGGUGAGUGGAACUGCGAGUGUAGAGGUGAAAUUCGUAGAUAUUCGCAAGAAC
rnacentral:rRNA from 1 species